rnacentral:rRNA from 1 species
GAUUGAGUGUUCCGGUGAAUUAUUCGGACCGUCCCGUUAACGCGCGGCAACGAGUGUGCGGAAUGGAGAGUUUUGUGAACCUUAACACUUAGAGAAAGGACAAGUCGUAACAAGGUUUCCGUAGGUGAACCUGCGGAAGGAUC